rnacentral:rRNA from 1 species
AACGAACGCUGGCGGCAUGCCUAACACAUGCAAGUCGAACGAGACCUUCGGGUCUAGUGGCGCACGGGUGCGUAACGCGUGGGAACCUGCCCUUAGGUUCGGAAUAACUCCCCGAAAGGGGUGCUAAUACCGGAUAAUGUCUUCGGACCAAAGAUUUAUCGCCUUUGGAUGGGCCCGCGUUGGAUUAGCUAGUUGGUAGGGUAAAAGCCUACCAAGGCGACGAUCCAUAGCUGGUCUGGGAGGAUGAUCAGCCACACUGGGACUGCGACACGGCCCAGACUCCUACGGGAGGCAGCAGUGGGGAAUAUUGGACAAUGGGCGAAAGCCUGAUCCAGCAAUGCCGCGUGAGUGAUGAAGGCCUUAGGGUUGUAAAGCUCUUUUACCCGGGAUGAUAAUGACAGUACCGGGAGAAUAAGCUCCGGCUAACUCCGUG